rnacentral:rRNA from 1 species
UCGGGAAUUUUGGGCAAUGGGCGAAAGCCUGACCCAGCAACGCCGCGUGAAGGAUGAAGUAUUUCGGUAUGUAAACUUCGAAAGAAUAGGAAGAAUAAAUGACGGUACUAUUUAUAAGGUCCGGCUAACUACGUGCCAGCAGCCGCGGUAAUACGUAGGGACCAAGCGUUGUUCGGAUUUACUGGGCGUAAAGGGCGCGUAGGCGGUGCGGUAAGUCACUUGUGAAAUCUCCGAGCUUAACUCGGAACGGCCAAGUGAUACUGCAGUACUAGAGUGCGGAAGGGGCAAUCGGAAUUCUUGGUGUAGCGGUGAAAUGCGUAGAUAUCAAGAGGAACACCUGAGGUGAAGACGGGUUGCUGGGCUGACACUGACGCUGAGGCGCGAAAGCCAGGGGAGCAAACGGGAUUAGAUACCCGAGUAGUCCCUGAGCGGGCUGGCAAGGCGCAU